CGCAUCGGGGUUCUAAUUCAUUUGGAUUUUUUCUUAUCUCUUCUUUCUUACACCUCUCUCCCUAUUAUCCAAUUAUUCUUUUCCUUCCCUUAUUAGGACAAGUCCUAAAAUAGUGAGGACAAGUCUGAUUUUAGGACAAAGAUCUAGGAAGAGAUAUAAAGAAGACAAGGAGACAAGAAAGGUAGAGAUAAGAAGGCUAGGA
rnacentral:lncRNA from 1 species